rnacentral:rRNA from 1 species
GAUGAACGCUGGCGGCGUGCCUAAUACAUGCAAGUCGAGCGAAUGGAUUAAGAGCUUGCUCUUAUGAAGUUAGCGGCGGACGGGUGAGUAACACGUGGGUAACUUGCCCAUAAGACUGGGAUAACUCCGGGAAACCGGGGCUAAUACCGGAUAACAUUUUGAACCGCAUGGUUCGAAAUUGAAAGGCGGCUUCGGCUGUCACUUAUGGAUGGACCCGCGUCGCAUUAGCUAGUUGGUGAGGUAACGGCUCACCAAGGCAACGAUGCGUAGCCGACCUGAGAGGGUGAUCGGCCACACUGGGACUGAGACACGGCCCAGACUCCUAAGGGAGGCAGCAGUAGGGAAUCUUCCGCAAUGGACGAAAGUCUGACGGAGCAACGCCGCGUGAGUGAUGAAGGCUUUCGGGUCGUAAAACUCUGUUGUUAGGGAAGAACAAGUGCUAGUUGAAUAAGCUGGCACCUUGACGGUACCUAACCAGAAAGCCACGGCUAACCACGUGCCAGCCGCCGCGGUAA